AUUCCUGCAAGGGAAAAUUUCUAGCUCUUCAUAGAGAUGUUUGGAUCAACUCUGUAGGCUCUCAGGUUGUAGGUCUUCAGAGGAAUUGACCAAGAGGUACUCAUCCUAUGUUUUCAUACCCCAGCUUCUCCUAAGCAGAGCUCUGACCUUAGCAUAAGAACACUCAACUGAACAUUCAGUGGCCCUAAAUAUCAGAUUGUGAGUUUUCUCUCCAGCUACGUGUACUAUCCUCUUGGAAAGAUAAGGAAAUAUUUAUCAACUACCCCCAAAGCCUUCCGGUCCUCACACUUACAUUUGACCUAUUUUUUCACCAUGUUCAGUUUCUCAUUAUCUUGCUUUAAGUCUACAGUAUAACUUACUGAUAAUCAGACAUUUCCACUAUUUUUCCAUUGAUUCUUUGCUCCAUAUUUUUCAAAUGCCUGCACAUUGUCCUACCUAGGGAACUCACAUGCAGCAAGAUAUUCUCCAAAGUCACCACGGAUGAAAUAUUUAUCAACUGGACCACUGUUUUAUGCCAGAAACUAUCCAUGAUCCACACACCGCUUGGAAAGAGAUCAUCAUUUUCCAGACCUUUGCUAUCUACUAAAGGUUCAAAAUCAACACAACAAGAAGAGGUGGUAUCCUACAGGAACAAACGGUGAAAUGUAGUUAGGCAAAUUAUUACAAUACAAUGCAAUAUUCUUUGUAACACAUGUAAACAUAAAUCAUGACUCCAGAGGAGGGAUUACCAGUUUCCUGGCAGAGAAGAUAGACUUCUUACUUGAGGAAACAUUUAAAUGGGGCUAUAACAGAUCAAUAAGCAUUUGCCUGAUGAAAAAGAAAGCAAAGCAUUCUGAGCAAGGGAAAGAGCACACACAAAAAACUGGAAUACUUUGGGAGAACCUGGAGCACCUCUGCGUGGCUGGAAUACAGGCAUACUUCAGAAAUACUGUGGCUUUGGUUCUGGACCACCACAAUAAAGUGUACAUCAUAAUAAAGUCAGUUACAAAAUAUUUUUUUUUCUGGUUACCUAGCACAUAUAAAAGUAUGUUCAUACUAUACUGUAGUCUAUAAAGUGUGCAAUAACAGUAUAUGUAAAGAAACAGUGUACAUAGAUAGCUUAAUUAAAAGAUACUUGUUGCUAAAAAUGCUGACCAUCAUCUGAGUGAAACUGAGCAGGACCCUGUGGUGGUCCUGGGCACAAGCCUUUCUGUGUCCCCAAUUUCUUGUUUUUAGGGAAUAAAAUUCAGCCUCCAUGACCUUCCCUGAGUUCUAAGGGGUAGGUUCAAACGGCUGCUAUUCAGGAAAGGGAGGGAAUGCAGAGACAAGGGAGGAGCAGUUCAGAAACAAUAGUGCAGUCUUGGGCAGGGUCGCGGUUCCUCUUCAAGGAGCAUACAUAACAAUAUCUUUGAGUUCUUCUGCAGAACUAAAACCCCCUACAAAUUAAAUCCAAAGAGGAGAACCACCAGAACCAGUACUGGGGCCACUAAACAUAACUUUCAAGAAGAACGAAAGCUUACAUCUACCCUGACCCUUAUUUGUGGCCCCAUCCUUUACUCCAAGGUAUAAAACCUUUUCCUAAUCUCUCCCAAGGGAGGGCACAGUAUUUAGGGCAUUAGCCUUAAUGGCCUGGCAAAGCAAUAAAGCUAUUUUUUUUUUUCCUUCACCCAAAACACUGUCUCCUCAUUGCCAUUUGACACUGGUGGACAGAGGCUGAGUUUUGGCAACAUGAGCCUUAAACAAAUCGUAAUCUUUUUGCAAUAAAACAUAAAAGAUCACUAAUCACAGGUCACCAUUCAAAUAUAAUGAUGAUGAAAAAGUUUGAAAUAUUGCAGUAAUUAACAAAACAUGACCCAGAGACAUAAGGGAGCAAAUGCUAUUGGGAAAACCAAACCAUGCAAAUGGAAUUGUUCAAUGCAGGGUUGCCACACAUUUCCAAUUUGUAAAAAGCACAGUAUCUGUGAAGUACAACAGAGCAAAGUGCAAUACAAUAAGGUAUAUCUGUUUAAGGUGGGUGGGGAAUGACCAGAGAUAUGGGUAGAGUAUCAGGCUAAACCACAUAGAAAAGGACUAUGUCAUGCUCUGGUGUCUGGAGUUAAUGGGCAGAUAAUGGUUUUUAAAGUCAGAUGCAGUGAGAAAGACAAUUCUGACAGCUGGAGAAUCAUUUUUAGGGGUGUGUGUAUAUGUAAGAGCAGGGAAUGAUAGGAGACCCUAUUCAAUAAUAAAGACUCUUAUCAGGAUUCUCCAAACAUUCAUACUGGCUACUGCAAUGUGGCUAGUUUUGGCAAGUGCGACUGCUACCCUGUCAUUUAAAAGUAGGGUCUGUGAAAGCAGGGGCUACGUCUAGCUUACUUACUGAAAUGUUCCGAGCUCCUAGCACAGUAACUUACACACAGGAAGUCAGCAGUAAAAACUUGUCUGAUUACUAGAUGACAAAUGAAAAGGCCAAGUAGUCACUUUUGCCACCUUGCUUACCAAGCUAGGAGAGGAAAAAA
rnacentral:lncRNA from 1 species